rnacentral:rRNA from 1 species
GAUAGUCACGAAAGUGUAAAGCUUUUGCGCUUUGGGAGGGGCCUGCGGUCUAUCAGCUUGUUGGUAAGGUAAUGGCUUACCAAGGCUAUGACGGAUAGCUGGUUUGAGAGAAUGAUCAGCCACAAUGGAACUGAGACACGGUCCAUACUCCUACGGGAGGCAGCAGUGAGGAAUCUUCCGCAAUGGGCGAAAGCCUGACGGAGCAACACCGCGUGAAGGAUGACGGUCGUAAGAUUUAUAAACUUCUUUUCUGAGGGAAGAAUUCUGACGGUACCUCAGGAAUAAGCAUCGGCUAACUAACGUGCCAGCAGCCGAGGUCAGACGUAGGAUGCAAGCGUUAUCCCGGAAUCUAUCUGGGCAUAAAGAGUUCGUAAGCGGUUAGUAAAGUCGGAUGUAAAUAUUUGAGCUCAACUUAAAAAAAGUAUCCAAAACUGGCAAACUGGAGACUGGUAGAGGUAAGUGGAAUUCUGCAUGUAGGGGUAAUAUCCGUAGAUAUGCAGAGGAACACCAAAAGCGAAGGCAGCUUACUGGACCAGUUCUGACGCUCAAGAACGAAAGCGUGGGUAGCGAACGGGAUUAGAUACCCCGGUAGUCCACGCCCUAAACGAUGAACACUAGGUAUUGGAGGUCUCGACCCCUUCAGUGCCGUCGCAAAUGCAAUAAGUGUUCCGCCUGGGUAGUACGAGCGCAAGCUUAAAACUCAAAGGAAUAGACGGGGACCCACACAAGCGGUGGAGCAUCUGGUUUAAUUCGACAAUAAGCGAGGAACCUUACCAAGGCUUGACAUCCCGAGAAGAUCGCCGAAAGGUGAUUGUGCCGUUAGGAACUCGGUGACAGGUGCUGCAUGGUUGUCGUCAGCUCGUGCCUUGAGGUGUUCGGUUAAGUCCGUGAACGAGCGCAACCCUUGUCUCAAGUUGCAUAUUUCUUGAGAGACUGCCG